ensembl:lncRNA
CCCCUCCCGCCCCCUGCACCGCCCUCCAUUCACUUCUGUGUUCAGGCCUGAUGCUGGAGGGGGGAGGGCUGGUCCAAGAUUGACACAAACAACAAAGAUGUCUACAUCAACAGGCUCCUUGUUGUGUCUAAACUAGAAGCAUAACUUGUGGUAAUGAUCACCAUGUUGCACGGAGCCGGUCAGUGGAGACUCUGCAGGCUGGCGGUCUGGAUUCGGGUCUGGAUUUGUGCUUCGGAAUCCACGUCCUUGGUCUUUCUCUUUGCCCCCUUCCAGCCCGACUGCCUUUGGGAAAAGCACUGAAGCCUCCAGCUGUUUGCAACGGGUUCUGAGUGGAAAUCUGUAGAUGCAAAUGGCGUCUUUCUAGUGGGAACAUCUCCACCAGGGCUCUGCUAGAAAAUGCACACAUUUAAUCAAAUCCUUUCACGGCAGAUCACUUAAUAAAUACACUAAUGAAAUCCCACUCAGACUACUCAUCAAGCUCACGAAACCCCCCCUCUUUCCUCCAGACAGCGUAAUUAUAGUCGCUAUUUGGUCGUUAACUCACCCAGACACAUAUUUUGGAGGAUGAGAGAUGCAUUCUGUGUGAAGAUGUUUGCAGGCUCUCAGACGGAUGGAGGUUUAUUGCAGGAGAAAGGUGUGAGUUUAGCUCACACCUUUCCCCCCCCCCCACACACACACACACACAGGUACGCACAAAAACACACAAGCAGCCUCCAUCAGACUCUGUGUCACGGCUGCUGUGCAGCUGGAGACACAGAAAUCAUUUGGUGGAGUUUCACACAAUGUGCGGUGUGCGCUCCUCCAUUGCUUUCCCAUUACGGGGCGAUGAGCUCGCUCCACCUCGGCAGCUUUUCUCUGGCAGAACCUGCUCCUGUGAACGGGACUCGCUCCUCCUCCUCCUCCUCCUCCUCCCGGAGAACAGCUCGAUUGAUGCGGCGGUGUGUGUGUCUGUGUGUCUACAGAAGAACCAAAGCGCCGCUUUAUCCGUCUGCCACCGACAUUUCUCCUCUGUGUGUUUGUGGACGCCGGAGGAGUCCCUCACCCCCCCCUCACCCCCCCCCCCCCC